rnacentral:rRNA from 1 species
UGGGGAAUUUUGGACAAUGGGCGAAAGCCUGAUCCAGCCAUGCCGCGUGCAGGAUGAAGGCCUUCGGGUUGUAAACUGCUUUUGUACGGAACGAAAAGACUCUGGUUAAUACCUGGGGUCCAUGACGGUACCGUAAGAAUAAGCACCGGCUAACUACGUGCCAGCAGCCGCGGUAAUACGUAGGGUGCAAGCGUUAAUCGGAAUUACUGGGCGUAAAGCGUGCGCAGGCGGUUAUAUAAGACAGAUGUGAAAUCCCCGGGCUCAACCUGGGAACUGCAUUUGUGACUGUAUAGCUAGAGUACGGCAGAGGGGGAUGGAAUUCCGCGUGUAGCAGUGAAAUGCGUAGAUAUGCGGAGGAACACCGAUGGCGAAGGCAAUCCCCUGGGCCUGUACUGACGCUCAUGCACGAAAGCGUGGGGAGCAAACAGGAUUAGAUACCCUGUNGUCCACGCCCUAAACGAUGUCAACUGGUUGUUGGGUCUUCACUGACUCAGUAACGAAG